AUCGUCACUAUCUUUGAGUUAAUGCAUUGAGUCCCCUCUCAGGGUCUCUUAGGCAGGCACAGCUUUCUGCCUCAUCCACGUUACACAUCCUGUGUUCACUUCUAACUCCGCAUGCAUUAUAUUUUCUUGAACACGGCCUUCAUUGUAACCAAGCUUUCUCCUUUUGCACAGUACAAGUGCUUUAUUUUUCUCUGCAGACAAUGGAUUCCCUUUGUAUCUCCCUUACUUUUGUUUAAGACUUCUAAUUUAUCCCAAGGUCAUCUUUAAUCUCUUCUCCGUAUCUCAGCUACUUCACUUGAUCUCAACUUCUACCCUGUCUGUGUCAAUAAUAUUCUGUUCCUUUGUUCCAGGUAGUUCAACAGAUUUAAGGCACUUACUGUUUGUCUCUUCAGGCAGACUCUUUACGGGCUGAGCCACCAGGGAAGACUCAAUGGGAUCUGCUGCUGCUGCUGCUAAGUCACUUCAGUCGUGUCCGACUCUGUGCGACCCCAUGGACUACAGCCCACCAGGCUUCUCUGUCCAUGGGAUUCUCCAGGCAAGAACACUGGAGUGGGUUGCCAUUUCUUUCUCCAAUGCAUGAAAGUGGAAAGCGAAAGUGAAGUCGCUCAGUCGUGUCUGACUCCCAGCGACCCCAUGGACUGCAGCCUACCAGGCUCCUCCAUCCAUGGGAUUUUCCGGGCAACAGUACUGGAGUGGGAUGUUCAGCUUAAAAAAUGUAUGAUGUUUCACAUAAAAGUUGAAGUCACUGGAGAGCAGGAGGUUUUCCUGAUCUUUGCUUCUUCCAUUUCCUAA
ensembl:lncRNA